CCAAGAGCUUUAUGUGAUCUCGGUUCUAGUGUGAAUCUGAUGCAUCGUUCAGUUGCUAUGCGUCUUGGGUAUUCCAAUCUUGAGCAUACCUUUAUCACUCUUGUGUUGGCAGUUCGUUCUACCUUAAUUAAAGAUGGAAUUCUUAUUGAUGCUCCUGUGAUGAUUAGAAAGAGCAUGAUUCCUACAGACUUUGUAGUCUUGCCUUAUGAGAAGGAACCUAAGGAUCCAUUAAUCCUUGGGAGAUCCUUCUUGCACACAGCUGGAGCAAUCAUAGAUGUUCGAGAAGGGAGGAUAGGGCUGAAUGUUGGCGAUCUUAAUAUGCAGUUCAGAGAUGAAAUUAGAAGACCCACUAGAGCGAGUUUUGGUCUCUUCUGAUAAGUGUGUAUUUUGCAUGUUUUGAGCAUCCAUUUGUCAUCACUAUAGCACCAUAUCAUCAUUGUUUUAUACCAUUUCUCAUCAUUUGUCAUCACUUUAUAUAUUUAGGAUAGGUUUGCAUGCAUGUUGCACAUUUGUGUUGAUUUCAGGUGAUUUGGAGUUGUUGACGAGCUAAUUGAAAAAAGCGGACCUGAUCAUGUCAAACCACUCGACCCUGAGGUCGAGUAGAAGCUUCAAGACCUCAACAGACCAUUCGACCACCAGGUCGAGUAGAAGACAUCACCACUUCACCUCACCACUCGACCGCCUGGCCGAGUACCAUCAGGAGAGACACUCGACCACAUCACUCGACCCCGAGGUCGAGUGUCUUCACCUCCACCACCUGACAAUCACUCGACCACAUCACUCGACCCCGAGGCCGAGUGUCUUCACCUCCAUUACCUGAUCACCACUCGAUCACACCACUCUACCUGGAAGUCGAGUAUCACCAUCACCACCACUCGACUACAUACUCGAUUGCGAACUUUAGAGUCUUUUUCAUUCCUCACUCAACCAGACACUCGAGCACAAGGAAGAAAAGAAGACUCCAGCUAUUCGCUCGACCUCUAACUCGACCACCUGGGUCGAGUAUAGUUCUUAAUCCGUCCCAAUACUGCGUUGUUUUGAGUAUUAGGGUUUCAGAAUAUUUUGUUAUCAGUAGCAUGUACUUUACAUUUUCGAGAACAAGUUUUUAUCUAGUUUUAUUCUGCAGACAAUGUGUUCUAGACCUUUUGUAAUCCGGAUUUCUCUUUAUCUAUUCAGUAUUCAGUAUUUGUUCUUAAUUUCGUUUUACUGUUGUUCAUCCUGUUACCAUCUUGCUAUUACUCUGUUGUUAUCAUGUCUUCAUUCCAUUCAACGUUUAUGCUUUCUGCUAUGAUGUCUGAGUAGUGAAUAGGUUUCUGAGGAUGGGUUAGAGUAGUGUAGAAUUCUCAGUAUGCUAGGUGGUUGAGUUUGAUUGAUAGAUCCCUUCUGGAUUAGUUGUUCUUAAUGCCUAUUGCUUUCUGAUCAACUGAAAUUUGAGCCCAGACAUUUCCGCGCCCAAAAGGUGUUCGAUGAAAUGUCUGAACCACUAAUUCCAGAGACUCGUGGUCCUGUACCAAGGUAUUGGUUGCAGGGAGCU
rnacentral:sRNA from 1 species